AGGACGAACGCUUGCGGCAUGCCUGAGAAAUGCAAGUCGAGCGGGAGAAGGGGCAACCUUUCUCUAGCGGCGAACGGUCGAGUAACGCGUAAGCAACCUGCCCGGAAGCGGGGGAUAAGCCGGAGAAAUCCGGGGUAAUACCGCAUAUCUUGGGAGCGGACAUCCGCUUUCAAGAAAGGAGAGCAAUCUUCACUUUCGGAGGGGCUUGCGGCCUAUCAGCUAGUUGGGGGGGUAACGCCCACCAAGGCGACGACGGGUAGCUGGUCUGAGAGGACGGCCAGCCGGACUGGGACUGAGACACGGCCCAGACUCCUACGGGGGGCAGCAAUCAGGAAUCUUGCACAAUGGACGAAAGUCUGAUGCAGCGAUGCCGCGUGGGUGAGGAAGUCCCUCGGGAUGUAAAGCCCUUUUCUGGAGGACGAUGAUGACGGUACUCCAGGAAUAAGCCCCGGCUAACUACGCGCCAGCAGCCGC
rnacentral:rRNA from 1 species